rnacentral:rRNA from 1 species
UACGUAGGUGGCAAGCGUUGUCCGGAUUUAUUGGGUUUAAAGGGUGCGUAGGCGGUCUUUUAAGUCAGUGCUGAAAUACUCCAGCUUAACUGGAGGGGUGGCAUUGAUACUGGAAGACUUGAGUGUAGUCGAGGUAGGCGGAAUUGACGGUGUAGCGGUGAAAUGCUUAGAUAUCGUCAAGAACACCGAUAGUGAAGACAGCUUACUAGGCUACAACUGACGCUGAGGCACGAAAGUGUGGGGAUCAAGCAGG